AACGAACGCUGGCGGCAUGCCUAACACAUGCAAGUCGAACGAGACCUUCGGGUCUAGUGGCGCACGGGUGCGUAACGCGUGGGAACCUGCCCUUAGGUUCGGAAUAACUCCCCGAAAGGGGUGCUAAUACCGGAUAAUGUCUUCGGACCAAAGAUUUAUCGCCUUUGGAUGGGCCCGCGUUGGAUUAGCUUGUGGGUAGGGUAAAAGCCUACCAAGGCGACGUACCAUAGCUGGUUUGAGAGGAUGAUCAGCCACACUGGGACUGGGACACGUCCCAGAAUCCUACGGGAGGCAGCAGUGGGGAAUAUUGGACAAUGGGCGAAAGCCUGAGCCAGCAAUGCCGCGUGAGUGAUGAAGGCCUUAGGGUUGUAAAGCUCUUUUACCCGGGAUGAUAAGGACAGUACCGGGAGAAUAAGCUCCGGCUAACUCCUU
rnacentral:rRNA from 1 species